rnacentral:rRNA from 1 species
UGGUAAUUCUAGAGCUAAUACAUGCUAAAAACCUCGACUUCGGAAGGGGUGUAUUUAUUAGAUAAAAAACCAAUGCCCUUCGGGGCUCCUUGGUGAAUCAUAAUAACUUAACGAAUCGCAUGGCCUUGCGCCGGCGAUGGUUCAUUCAAAUUUCUGCCCUAUCAACUUUCGAUGGUAGGAUAGUGGCCUACCAUGGUAUCAACGGGUAACGGGGAAUUAGGGUUCGACUCCGGAGAGGGAGCCUGAGAAACGGCUACCACAUCCAAGGAAGGCAGCAGGCGCGCAAAUUACCCAAUCCCGACACGGGGAGGUAGUGACAAUAAAUACUGAUACAGGGCUCUUUUGGGUCUUGUAAUUGGAAUGAGUACAAUUUAAAUCCCUUAACGAGGAACAAUUGGAGGGCAAGUCUGGUGCCAGCAGCCGCGGUAAUUCCAGCUCCAAUAGCGUAUAUUAAAGUUGUUGCAGUUAAAAAGCUCGUAGUUGAACCUUGGGCCUGGCUGGCCGGUCCGCCUCACCGCGUGUACUGGUCCGGCCGGGCCUUUCCUUCUGGGGAACCGCAUGCCCUUCACUGGGCGUGCCGGGGAACCAGGACUUUUACUUUGAAAAAAUUAGAGUGUUCAAAGCAGGCCUUUGCUCGAAUACAUUAGCAUGGAAUAAUAGAAUAGGACGUGUGGUUCUAUUUUGUUGGUUUCUAGGACCGCCGUAAUGAUUAAUAGGGAUAGUCGGGGGCAUCAGUAUUCAAUUGUCAGAGGUGAAAUUCUUGGAUUUAUUGAAGACUAACUACUGCGAAAGCAUUUGCCAAGGAUGUUUUCAUUAAUCAGUGAACGAAAGUUAGGGGAUCGAAGACGAUCAGAUACCGUCGUAGUCUUAACCAUAAACUAUGCCGACUAGGGAUCGGACGGUGUUAUUAUUUUGACCCGUUCGGCACCUUAC